AAGGUGAACUAAUUAAAGCGCGAGCUGGGAGAAAGCAGUAUUCACAUCACAGCAAAGGCCAGCUACACAGUCAAAUCCAGAUACGUUUUAUGCAACGAGAUUCAAAAUGGUUCUGCUAGUUCUGAUGCAGCUCCUGCUCAUUGCAUCAGCAAAUGCUCAGACAACUACAGCAGCUACGACCACCGUAGCCACCACAGCCGCAGCUACGACUGCAAUAGCCACGACGGCCGCAACCACCGCAACCACCGCAGCCACUGCAACCACCACAGCCACCGCCACGACUGCCGCAGCCACGACCGCAGUAGCCACGACCACAGUAGCCACGACCGCAGUAGCCACGACCGCUGCAGCCACGACCGCUGCAGCCACGACCGCAGUAGCCACGACCGCUGCAGCCACGACCGCUGCAGCCACGACCGCUGCAGCCACGACCGCAGUAGCCACGACCGCUGCAGCCACGACCGC